UGGCAUGUGGUUUGCUCCCACAAGGUUUGAGAAUGAAGUCAUACUAUUUUGGUUGUGGUAAUCAACCAAGGAAUAGCUUAUGGACUUACAGUUACAAGCCAAAAACUGCCAUGGAGGUCUGUGUUAAUGAUGAAUCUGUGAAGUUUUUGAGUGGGUGGCUACAACAAUGGCGUGAAAGAAAGUUUCAAAUAUGCAA